UCUUAAAUCUUACAUAUUCCAAUGCUUGUAACAGACAAUCUCUUGCUGUGUACGCCCACUCACCCCAGAGGAAGGCCGGAUGUUUCAAGCCAGAAGAUAUCUCACAUCACACGCUUGGAGAGCUAAAAGUGUUCCAACACAUUUGAGCCUUGCCAAGCCAUACCAAGUCACUCUCAGACUGCUUCCCUGCCUUUAGACAAUCAAUGUAUUGGCUCUUUCACAAGAAGAUGUAUUAGACAAGAAUGAGAGAGUGGAGCUUCUGUUCCAUUUGCACCUAUGAGAAGUGUAGGUACUUUAAGAAGAACCAGUCCCUCCCUUGUUUUAAGGGUGAAUCUUGAAGUGACUUUACCCGACCAGGAGAGUAUAUUCCUAUGACCAUACUACUUGAGCAAAACAGGAGAAGGGCACUGGGAUCUGACUGAGAGUGUGGGAUCAUCGUUCCUGGAGAAGAACCAGUUAUGACUGAGUAGCUGGAUACAGCCUUAAGUCUUCACAUUUUGACUUACAUUCACAUGAAGCGGGGUGGGAGGACCUUUGCUGUAGCUAUUUGAGUCAUGUUUUCUGUUAUUUGCAACCAACAAAAUAAAUAUUCCCCUGACC
rnacentral:sRNA from 1 species